AAGAUCCCUGCAUGACACCGCAACGGCCGCACCAGAACCCUUUGUGAACUUAUACCUACUGUUGCCUCGGCGCAGGCCGGCCUUUUUCGAAGAAGGCCCCCUGGGAACAGGGAGCAGCCCGCCGGCGGCCAACCAAACUCUUGUUUCUAUAGUGAAUCUCUGAGUAAAAACAUAAAUGAAUCAAAACUUUCAACAACGGAUCUCUUGGUUCUGGCAUCGAUGAAGAACGCAGCGAAAUGCGAUAAGUAAUGUGAAUUGCAGAAUUCAGUGAAUCAUCGAAUCUUUGAACGCACAUUGCGCCCUCUGGUAUUCCGGAGGGCAUGCCUGUUCGAGCGUCAUUUCAACCCUCAAGCCUGGCUUGGUGAUGGGGCACUGCUCUCUCGCGGGAGCAGGCCCUGAAAUCUAGUGGCGAGCUCGCCAGGACCCCGAGCGCAGUAGUUACAUCUCGCUCUGGAAGGCCCUGGCGGUGCCCUGCCGUUAAACCCCCAACUUCUGAAAAUUUGACCUCGGAUCAGGUAGGAAUACCCGCUGAACUUAAGCAUAUCAAAAGCCGGAAGAA
rnacentral:rRNA from 1 species